rnacentral:rRNA from 1 species
UACGAAGGGUGCAAGCGUUACUCGGAAUUACUGGGCGUAAAGCGUGCGCAGGCGGUUGUGCAAGACAGAUGUGAAAUCCCCGGGCUCAACCUGGGAACUGCAUUUGUGACUGCACGGCUGGAGUGCGGCAGAGGGGGAUGGAAUUCCGCGUGUAGCAGUGAAAUGCGUAGAUAUGCGGAGGAACACCGAUGGCGAAGGCAAUCCCCUGGGCCUGCACUGACGCUCAUGCACGAAAGCGUGGGGAGCAAACAGG